GGGGCCGCAACGGUUUCGACAGGUUGGCGAAAGCUUCCACUGUGAUGCAGGUCGAGAGUGGGUCUCCUCUCGCAAAUCAAAGAUCCAAACAAAAUGUAACUGCGAACAACAUCGUUCCUUUCGCUCGCAAAGCUGCUGCUGUAGCUUAAUAAGAACACCUUAACUUAGGUUCGAGCAUUCAUAAUUCGACUCCGUUAAGGAUUAUGACUAAACCCCCAACGGAUGCUCUCUAGGAAUACAUCUGGUUUGCACUAGAGCUAAGACUAGACCAGAGAUUCUUGGCGACUCGGAACAAGCAGUCGUUCCCGUUCUGAGGAUUAGAAGAACUAAACCUGUGAAUGAGCUAGGGGUGAAUACCCAGUUUGGACAGCAGUUCGACUCUGCUCGGCUCCAUUU
rfam:Synechococcus sp. PCC 7002, complete genome.